AGGCGGGCGGGCUAAUACAUGCAGUCGAGCGGACAGAAGGGAGCUUGCUCCCGGAUGUUAGCGGCGGACGGGUGAGUAACACGUGGGUAACCUGCCUGUAAGACUGGGAUAACUCCGGGAAACCGGAGCUAAUACCGGAUAGUUCCUUGAACCGCAUGGUUCAAGGAUGAAAGACGGUUUCGGCUGUCACUUACAGAUGGACCCGCGGCGCAUUAGCUAGUUGGUGGGGUAAUGGCUCACCAAGGCGACGAUGCGUAGCCGACCUGAGAGGGUGAUCGGCCACACUGGGACUGAGACACGGCCCAGACUCCUACGGGAGGCAGCAGUAGGGAAUCUUCCGCAAUGGACGAAAGUCUGACGGAGCAACGCCGCGUGAGUGAUGAAGGUUUUCGGAUCGUAAAGCUCUGUUGUUAGGGAAGAACAAGUGCGAGAGUAACUGCUCGCACCUUGACGGUACCUAACCAGAAAGCCACGGCUAACUACGUGCCAGCAGCCGCGGUAAUACGUAGGUGGCAAGCGUUGUCCGGAAUUAUUGGGCGUAAAGGGCUCGCAGGCGGUUUCUUAAGUCUGAUGUGAAAGCCCCCGGCUCAACCGGGGAGGGUCAUUGGAAACUGGGAAACUUGAGUGCAGAAGAGGAGAGUGGAAUUCCACGUGUAGCGUAAAAUGGCGGUAAGAAAAAA
rnacentral:rRNA from 1 species